GUCCUGGCCUUAAACGAUGGAUGCUUGGUGUCUGGGGUUUUAUAGUCCCCGGGUGCCGUAGCUAACGCGUUAAGCAUCCCGCCUGGGGAGUACGGUCGCAAGACUGAAACUCAAAGGAAUUGACGGGGACCCGCACAAGCGGUGGAGCAUGUGGUUCAAUUCGACGCAACGCGAAGAACCUUACCAGGGCUAGAAUGCCUCUGACAACCCCAGAGAUGGGGCUUCUUAGGGAAACCUAGGCAGAGUGCAAGGUGCUGCAUGGCUGUCGU
rnacentral:rRNA from 1 species